GACAGUUUGGCCGAGUGUAAGGAUCCACCAUUAGUUACACUGUUAUGAAAUAUAUACUAAUAAUCUAUACAGGGUUAAGGCGACAGACUCGAAUCAAAUCGCAAUCUGUUGGGUUCGCCCGCACAGGUUCAAAUCCUGUAGCUGUCG